rnacentral:lncRNA from 1 species
GGGAACACAGUGUUUCAUAGAAACCUGUUUUCCCACCCCAACGAAGAGGCACCCGCUAUCACCGGAUGGAAGGAGGAAGAUGAAGGCUGAACUGAACACAUUGCUGAUGAGGCCAGGGAUGCUGGGUACCUGGGACCAGAAACAGUGCAGCUGUCACCACCCUGGGGCCUGAAGGACUGGCAGGAUUGUCAGAGUCUGAUAAGAGAUGAGUUAUGUUAGGGUAACCUCCCAUAGGAGGGCGGCUUAUGGGAGUGGAGCACCAGCAUCUGUAGACUGGGGGAGGGUGGAAGGAGCUGGUGGAAUCAGUGACUUCUUGGCUUUCCUGCCCUUGGAUGUCCUCGUGGUACCUCUGGUUGACCAGCAUGGAUGGUCCAUUCCAGAGACGCUGGAUGGUCCAGAGAGGAGCUGAAAAUGGAUGAGGCACACACAGCAUUUCCUCAUCGGCUUCUUCACUUUCGCUGUGGGAUUUCUCAGGUGAUUCCCAUUAUCUGAGCAGUUCUCUGUUGGCUUUCUCCGGUGACUGUAUGCCAAUUCCAUUUUUAUUUUUACAUGUAUUAUUAAAUACAAUAUUAUACAUAUUAAAUAUGUAUACAUAUAUAACUC